rnacentral:rRNA from 1 species
UAGGGAAUCUUCCACAAUGGACGCAAGUCUGAUGGAGCAACGCCGCGUGAGUGAAGAAGGUUUUCGGAUCGUAAAGCUCUGUUGUUGGUGAAGAAGGAUAGAGGCAGUAACUGGUCUUUAUUUGACGGUAAUCAACCAGAAAGUCACGGCUAACUACGUGCCAGCAGCCGCGGUAAUACGUAGGUGGCAAGCGUUGUCCGGAUUUAUUGGGCGUAAAGCGAGCGCAGGCGGAAUGAUAAGUCUGAUGUGAAAGCCCACGGCUCAACCGUGGAACUGCAUCGAAAACUGUCAUUCUUGAGUGCAGAAGAGGAGAGUGGAAUUCCAUGUGUAGCGGUGGAAUGCGUAGAUAUAUGGAAGAACACCAGUGGCGAAGGCGGCUCUCUGGUCUGCAACUGACGCUGAGGCUCGAAAGCAUGGGUAGCGAACAGG